rnacentral:rRNA from 1 species
UGGGGAAUAUUGCACAAUGGGCGCAAGCCUGAUGCAGCCAUGCCGCGUGUGUGAAGAAGGCCUUCGGGUUGUAAAGCACUUUCAGCGGGGAGGAAGGCGGUGAGGUUAAUAACCUCAUCGAUUGACGUUACCCGCAGAAGAAGCACCGGCUAACUCCGUGCCAGCAGCCGCGGUAAUACGGAGGGUGCAAGCGUUAAUCGGAAUUACUGGGCGUAAAGCGCACGCAGGCGGUCUGUCAAGUCGGAUGUGAAAUCCCCGGGCUCAACCUGUGAACUGCAUUCGAAACUGGCAGGCUAGAGUCUUGUAGAGGGGGGUAGAAUUCCAGGUGUAGCGGUGAAAUGCGUAGAGAUCUGGAGGAAUACCGGUGGCGAAGGCGGCCCCCUGGACAAAGACUGACGCUCAGGUGCGAAAGCGUGGGGAGCAAACAGG